GAUGAACGCUGGCGGUAUGCUUAACACAUGCAAGUCGAACGGUCACUUCGGUGAUAGUGGCGGACGGGUGAGUCACGCGUGAGAAUCUGUCUUCAGGUCGGGGACAACAGUUAGAAAUGACUGCUAAUACCGGAUGUGCCUUUGGGUGAAAGCUUUAUUGCCUGAAAAAGAGCUCGCGUCAGAUUAGCUAGUAGGUGGUGUAAGAGACUACCUAGGCUCCGAUCUGUAGCUGGUCUGAGAGGACGAUCAGCCACACUGGAACUGAGACACGGUCCAGACUCCUACGGGAGGCAGCAGUGGGGAAUUUUCCGCAAUGGGCGAAAGCCUGACGGAGCAAUACCGCGUGAGGGACGAAGGCUUUUGGGUCGUAAACCUCUUUUCUCAAGGAAGAUGAUGACGGUACUUGAGGAAUAAGCAUCGGCUAACUCUGUG
rnacentral:rRNA from 1 species